GGUUAAGCGACUAAGCGUACACGGUGGAUGCCCUGGCAGUCAGAGGCGAUGAAGGGCGUGCUAAUCUGCGAUAAGCGCCGGUAAGGUGAUAUGAACCGUUAUAACCGGCGAUACCCGAAUGGGGAAACCCAGUGUGACUCGUCACACUAUCAUUAACUGAAUCCAUAGGUUAAUGAGGCGAACCGGGGGAACUGAAACAUCUAAGUACCCCGAGGAAAAGAAAUCAACCGAGAUUCCCCCAGUAGCGGCGAGCGAACGGGGAGGAGCCCAGAGCCUGAAUCAGCAUGUGUGUUAGUGGAAGCGUCUGGAAAGGCGCGCGAUACAGGGUGACAGCCCCGUACACAAAAGCGCAUGUGCUGUGAGCUCGAUGAGUAGGGCGGGACACGUGGUAUCCUGUCUGAAUAUGGGGGGACCAUCCUCCAAGGCUAAAUACUCCUGACUGACCGAUAGUGAACCAGUACCGUGAGGGAAAGGCGAAAAGAACCCCGGCGAGGGGAGUGAAAAAGAACCUGAAACCGUGUACGUACAAGCAGUGGGAGCCCCACCACCAAAGCAUUCUCUGGUGUUGAAGGCCCUGCAAAGCAGCAUCGCGGUGGCGGAGCGUCGUUUGCGACGCCCAACACACAAAACAAGCGGUGAGUGCUUUGGGGUGGGGUGACUGCGUACCUUUUGUAUAAUGGGUCAGCGACUUAUAUUUUGUAGCAAGGUUAACCGCAUAGGGGAGCCGGAGGGAAACCGAGUCUUAAUUGGGCGUUAAGUUGCAGGGUAUAGACCCGAAACCCGGUGAUCUAGCCAUGGGCAGGUUGAAGGUUGGGUAACACUAACUGGAGGACCGAACCGACUAAUGUUGAAAAAUUAGCGGAUGACCUGUGGCUGGGGGUGAAAGGCCAAUCAAACCGGGAGAUAGCUGGUUCUCCCCGAAAGCUAUUUAGGUAGCGCCUCGUGAACUCAUCUCCGGGGGUAGAGCACUGUUUCGGCUAGGGGGCCAUCCCGGCUUACCAACCCGAUGCAAACUGCGAAUACCGGAGAAUGUUAUCACGGGAGACACACGGCGGGUGCUAACGUCCGUCGUGAAGAGGGAAACAACCCAGACCGCCAGCUAAGGUCCCAAAGUCAUGGUUAAGUGGGAAACGAUGUGGGAAGGCCCAGACAGCCAGGAUGUUGGCUUAGAAGCAGCCAUCAUUUAAAGAAAGCGUAAUAGCUCACUGGUCGAGUCGGCCUGCGCGGAAGAUGUAACGGGGCUAAACCAUGCACCGAAGCUGCGGCAGCGAACGUAUCACUUAAAGCGAUUCAGCGGGUUACGAUUGACGGAGCGAAGCGACGUCAAAGCGUAUACAAAGUCGAGUCGGUUUAAGGAUACGUUCGUUGGGUAGGGGAGCGUUCUGUAAGCCUGUGAAGGUGUGUCGUGAGGCAUGCUGGAGGUAUCAGAAGUGCGAAUGCUGACAUAAGUAACGAUAAAGCGGGUGAAAAGCCCGCUCGCCGGAAGACCAAGGGUUCCUGUCCAACGUUAAUCGGGGCAGGGUGAGUCGACCCCUAAGGCGAGGCCGAAAGGCGUAGUCGAUGGGAAACGGGUUAAUAUUCCCGUACUUGGUGUUACUGCGAAGGGGGGACGGAGAAGGCUAUGUUGGCCGGGCGACGGUUGUCCCGGUUUAAGCGUGUAGGCUGGUUUUCCAGGCAAAUCCGGAAAAUCAAGGCUGAGGCGUGAUGACGAGGCACUACGGUGCUGAAGCAACAAAUGCCCUGCUUCCAGGAAAAGCCUCUAAGCAUCAGGUAACAUCAAAUCGUACCCCAAACCGACACAGGUGGUCAGGUAGAGAAUACCAAGGCGCUUGAGAGAACUCGGGUGAAGGAACUAGGCAAAAUGGUGCCGUAACUUCGGGAGAAGGCACGCUGACAUGUAGGUGAAGUGAUUUACUCAUGGAGCUGAAGUCAGUCGAAGAUACCAGCUGGCUGCAACUGUUUAUUAAAAACACAGCACUGUGCAAACACGAAAGUGGACGUAUACGGUGUGACGCCUGCCCGGUGCCGGAAGGUUAAUUGAUGGGGUCAGCGCAAGCGAAGCUCCUGAUCGAAGCCCCGGUAAACGGCGGCCGUAACUAUAACGGUCCUAAGGUAGCGAAAUUCCUUGUCGGGUAAGUUCCGACCUGCACGAAUGGCGUAAUGAUGGCCAGGCUGUCUCCACCCGAGACUCAGUGAAAUUGAACUCGCUGUGAAGAUGCAGUGUACCCGCGGCAAGACGGAAAGACCCCGUGAACCUUUACUAUAGCUUGACACUGAACAUUGAGCCUUGAUGUGUAGGAUAGGUGGGAGGCUUUGAAGUGUGGACGCCAGUCUGCAUGGAGCCGACCUUGAAAUACCACCCUUUAAUGUUUGAUGUUCUAACGUGGACCCGUGAUCCGGGUUGCGGACAGUGUCUGGUGGGUAGUUUGACUGGGGCGGUCUCCUCCUAAAGAGUAACGGAGGAGCACGAAGGUUGGCUAAUCCUGGUCGGACAUCAGGAGGUUAGUGCAAUGGCAUAAGCCAGCUUGACUGCGAGCGUGACGGCGCGAGCAGGUGCGAAAGCAGGUCAUAGUGAUCCGGUGGUUCUGAAUGGAAGGGCCAUCGCUCAACGGAUAAAAGGUACUCCGGGGAUAACAGGCUGAUACCGCCCAAGAGUUCAUAUCGACGGCGGUGUUUGGCACCUCGAUGUCGGCUCAUCACAUCCUGGGGCUGAAGUAGGUCCCAAGGGUAUGGCUGUUCGCCAUUUAAAGUGGUACGCGAGCUGGGUUUAGAACGUCGUGAGACAGUUCGGUCCCUAUCUGCCGUGGGCGCUGGAGAACUGAGGGGGGCUGCUCCUAGUACGAGAGGACCGGAGUGGACGCAUCACUGGUGUUCGGGUUGUCAUGCCAAUGGCACUGCCCGGUAGCUAAAUGCGGAAGAGAUAAGUGCUGAAAGCAUCUAAGCACGAAACUUGCCCCGAGAUGAGUUCUCCCUGAGACUUAGAGUCUCCUGAAGGAACGUUGAAGACGACGACGUUGAUAGGCCGGGUGUGUAAGCGCAGCGAUGCGUUGAGCUAACCGGUACUAAUGAACCGUGAGGCUUAACCUU
rnacentral:rRNA from 1 species